rnacentral:rRNA from 1 species
AUUGAACGCUGGCGGCAGGCCUAACACAUGCAAGUCGAGCGGAUGAAGGGAGCUUGCUCCUGGAUUCAGCGGCGGACGGGUGAGUAAUGCCUAGGAAUCUGCCUGGUAGUGGGGGAUAACGUCCGGAAACGGGCGCUAAUACCGCAUACGUCCUGAGGGAGAAAGUGGGGGAUCUUCGGACCUCACGCUAUCAGAUGAGCCUAGGUCGGAUUAGCUAGUUGGUGGGGUAAAGGCCUACCAAGGCGACGAUCCGUAACUGGUCUGAGAGGAUGAUCAGUCACACUGGAACUGAGACACGGUCCAGACUCCUACGGGAGGCAGCAGUGGGGAAUAUUGGACAAUGGGCGAAAGCCUGAUCCAGCCAUGCCGCGUGUGUGAAGAAGGUCUUCGGAUUGUAAAGCACUUUAAGCUGGGAGGAAGGGCAGUAAGUUAAUACCUUGCUGUUUUGACGUUACCAACAGGAUAAGCACCGGCUAACUUCGUG